ensembl:snRNA U6 U6 spliceosomal RNA
GUGCUCGCUUCAGCAGCACAUCCUAAAACUGGAAUGAUACAGAGAAAUUAGCCCAGACCUGGACAAGGAUAACAUGCGAAUUUGUGACAUGUUCCAUAUUUCC